GGUGACACGUGGAGCUGACGAAUACUAAUCGAUCGAAGACUUAAUCAAUUU
rnacentral:rRNA from 1 species